GGCAGUUCUUGGGUGACCCACUUCAGAAUCCUGCUCCCUCCUCUCUGCUUCCAGGGUAUGUCAGCCGAGAACCGCU
rfam:Myotis lucifugus cont2.15438, whole genome shotgun sequence.